rnacentral:sRNA from 1 species
AGGCUUUUGAAACACCAUUUAGCGAAUGCAUAUCCUGAUGUUUGCCGUUGAAGGAUAUUUCUGUCGCAAAUGCUGGAUUUUUGUCCUCGACAUUUGAUCAAAAUGUGUUUCAUGUGGCCUUGCUGUUCUAUUGCUGUCCAUUGGCACCUUUCUUCAGCUGUCUACUUUUUUUACAAUUCACAUCUCUAUUCUAUGGCCGUUAUGACCAGUAAAGCACCAUAGAAUCCUUGUCACCUCGAAAUGGCUAUUGUUAAUACACCCACGUCAACAUCAAAUGUCAGCAGGACUCCCUCUCUCUCUCUCUCACACUUGGACAUU